ACAAGACCUAGCUCUUAAUCAAUUUAUUACAACUACCUUUACUCUAAAGUAAAACAUUUACCAAAACUUAGUAUAGGAGAUAGAACAUUUACUCAAGACGCAAUAGAGAAAGUACCGUAAGGGAAAGAUGAAAGAUAACUUAAAGUAUAAAAUAGCAGAGAUUAAUACUCUUACCUUUUGCAUAAUGAACUAACUAGAACAAAUUUGACAAAGAGAUCUGAAGCCAAAACCCCCGAAACCAGACGAGCUACUUAUGGACAAUUGUAAGAAUGAACUCGUCUAUGUAGCAAAAUAGUGAGAUGAUCUAUAAGUAGAGGUGAAAAGCCAACCGAGCCUGGUGAUAGCUGGUUACCCAAGAAAGGAAUUUUAGUUCUACCCAAAGCAUACCCUAAAAACACCUAAUUAUAAUGUAGACUUUGGAGUAAUUCAAUAGAGGUACAGCCCUAUUGAAUACGGAUACAACCUAAAAAGGUGAGUAAGAACACCAUAUCAACAUAGUUGGCCUAAAAGCAGCCACCAAUUAAGAAAGCGUUAAAGCUCAAACUUUAAAACUAUAAUAAUCCCAAUAACAUGACCUAACUCCCUAAUUUAGUAUUGGGUUAUUCUAUUAGCUAAUAGAAGUAAUAAUGUUAGUAUGAGUAACAAGAAAAAUUUCUCCGUGCACAAGCUUAUAUCAGAACGAAUGCCCACUGAUAGUUAACGACACUAUAAACUUAAUCCCCACAUAAACCUCUUAUUAAUAAUAUCGUUAACCCAACACAGGAGUGCAACUCGGAAAGAUUAAAAGAGAAAGAAGGAACUCGGCAAACAAGAACUCCGCCUGUUUACCAAAAACAUCACCUCUAGCAUUACUAGUAUUAGAGGCACUGCCUGCCCAGUGACACUAGUUAAACGGCCGCGGUACUCUGACCGUGCAAAGGUAGCAUAAUCAUUUGUUCUUUAAUUGAGGACUAGUAUGAAUGGCAAGACGAGAGUUCAACUGUCUCCUUUCUCCAAUCAGUGAAAUUGACCUUCCUGUGAAGAGGCAGGAAUAAUUCUAUAAGACGAGAAGACCCUAUGGAGCUUCAAUUAACUUACCCACAAGUCUAUUAAUGACCCAACUGGCAUACCACAAGACUUCCUGUGUAAGAAAUUUCGGUUGGGGUGACCUCGGAGCAUAAAAAAUCCUCCGAACGAUAUUCUACUAUGAUAUCACCAAUCUAAGUUUACUUAUCUGAUUGACCCAAUUAAUUGAUCAACGGAACAAGUUACCCUAGGGAUAACAGCGCAAUCCUAUUCUAGAGUCCAUAUCGACAAUAGGGUUUACGACCUCGAUGUUGGAUCAGGACACCCCAAUGGUGCAGAAGCUAUUAAAGGUUCGUUUGUUCAACGAUUAAAGUCCUACGUGAUCUGAGUUCAGACCGGAGUAAUCCAGGUCGGUUUCUAUCUAUAACUAAUUUCUCCCAGUACGAAAGGACAAGAGAAAUGGAGCCUACUUACCCUAAGCGCUCUAAUCAACAUUAAUGAUACCUAUCUUAAUUUAUAGAUGAUACUCAUUAUCCUACCCAAAACAAGGGUAU
rnacentral:rRNA from 1 species